rnacentral:rRNA from 1 species
GGCCGCCUACGGGAGGCAGCAGUGGGGAAUAUUGCGCAAUGGGCGAAAGCCUGACGCAGCGACGCCGCGUGAGGGAUGAAGGUCUUCGGAUCGUAACCUCUGUCAGCAGGGAAGAACGGUCACUGUGCUAAUCAGCAGUGAAUUGACGGUACCUGCAAAGGAAGCACCGGCUAACUCCGUGCCAGCAGCCGCGGUAAUACGGAGGGUGCGAGCGUUAAUCGGAAUUACUGGGCGUAAAGCGCUCGUAGGCGGUAUGUCAAGUCAAGGAUGAAAUCGCCGAGCUCAACGUGGGAA